UCAAAUGAUAAAAAAAAUAACCGUGUUAAAAUAUAUUAUAUUUUCUUAAAUAGUACACAUUUUUACGAUACAUUUAUAAUGACAAAAAACCAACUAGUUCAUAUGACGACAACGAUAAUUAUUGUAUGAUGGUAGUUGUCUGAAGUCAUAAAAAGCUUAUCGGUAUGCUUAUUCAUCAGAGCGGUUCGAUUCCUGAAACUAUCUCUAGUCUGAUUAAGUGUGGUAACAGUUUUAAGAUGAGUCAAAGAUUCUGGUUGAACAGUUCUCCAUCGACACCAACUGGAAGAAAUAAUUGUUUUAUCAUUUGUCUAAAUAGAUUAGCUAGAAUGUGACCAGAGGAAGAUUAAAUGGACAUAUCAUAUAUUUCUCCAUGGACACUGUAAUCCAUAGACGGAUUUUUGACACUAUAUUUGAAUAUUUGUUGUUGAAGUUAAUUGGAUUUUGUGCAAAACCCCUGGAAGAAUAUUCUGUAUCAGACUAACAUUAUAAAAACCACCCAGUAUUUCUGUUUACCUGCUGUUAGACAUCGUAGUAUCAUCUCCAAUCUCUUUAUAUUUUGUUUAAUUUUAUUUAAAAAAGUCUCAUUAUAAUUUAUUAUUAAUCAACUGUAAUUCAGUUGUUUACUUAUUGAAUAACUUAUUAUCCUGUCUUCAACGUCCAUAUAAACUGUACUGUAUUUAUGACCACUACACUGAUAUCUCAUUUGGCUAAAUAUUUUUAAUUUUCAACUACAUUAAAACAAAAUUAAGAUUGUUUAAAUUUUUUUUUUUUUGAAUACUUGUAUUAUUGUUUGAAUAUUUUUACACUUUAAGUGUCAAUACAAGUAUCUUUAGUUUAACGAUACUAACAGUAUAUUAUUAUUACAAUUUUGACAAACAUAAUUAUUA